rnacentral:lncRNA from 1 species
ACCUUCACAAUCAAAUUCACGUGAAACUGCACAUAAAAUAUCGCACUUUUUGCGAAAUUACGGUUUUGCCAACACCGACCUCUCCUCGAUCAACGCGUAAUCUUCGCCGAUCCAUCCGUCAGAUUUGCGAACGGAUCGCACCAGUGCGAUCAGCAUGACGGAGACAAGAAAGCUACAAUUUUGGUUCGCCUCGAUCGGUCACAGAUUCGCGACGAAAUCUGUUUUCUCUCCAAAAGGCCAAAUGACGCACAAAUACAUAUAAACAUGUAUUUUUGAAUUUUCUCGAAAUUCGUGCGUCAAACUCAAAAUCCGUAAACUCAAAAUCCGUCAGCGCCAAUA